CAGUCGCCGCGGUAAAACGUAGGUGGCAAGCGUUGUCCGGAAUUAUUGGGCGUAAAGCGCGCGCAGGCGGAUCAGUCAGUCUGUCUUAAAAGUUCGGGGCUUAACCCCGUGAUGGGAUGGAAACUGCUGAUCUAGAGUAUCGGAGAGGAAAGUGGAAUUCCUAGUGUAGCGGUGAAAUGCGUAGAUAUUAGGAAGAACACCAGUGGCGAAGGCGACUUCCUGGACGAAAACUGACGCUGAGGCGCGAAAGCCAGGGGAGCAAACAGGAUUAGAUACCCGCGUAGUCCCUGUCUCUUAUACA
rnacentral:rRNA from 1 species